UUGCUGAGUUUGGUUUAAGGCGUUUGUUUUGAAAACAAUUGUACUUUCAAGAAAAGUACCGCAAGUUCAAAUCUUGCAUUG
rnacentral:tRNA from 1 species